UAUGCAACGGAACACAGAUGUGGUGUGGUUGUAAAAGGGCCAAAGCUUAGCGGGAACAUAUCUAGAACAGACCCAUUGAAGGAUAAUCGUUUGCUUCUCGAAGCUAAACCUUUGGAUGAAUCAGAAGAAGCCAAGCACACAGCUAAAGUCGUUAACGAGUUGUCUAGAGAGAUCUCACGCAUUCUUGUUUCACACCCGGUUAAUGCAAUGAGACUUUCACAAGGCAAGAACAUUGCCAAUCUUGUCCUUCUACGAGGAUGUGGCAUUCGAAUCGAGGUAUGUGUGUUUCAGUACUUUCAAAUAGGUCUCUAUGAGUCUAUGUACAUAUCUGUAGUGGUUCUUUUUGUUGUGUGUAUAAAGGUUCCUCCUUUUGAAGUGAAGCAUGGUUUGUGGCCUUGUAUGGUAGCACCAACAAAGAUUAUAGCAGGACUUGGUAUGUCACUAGGUAUUGACAUUCUUGAAGCUCCAGGAGCCACUGGAGAUUAUAGGACACUUCUUACUUCUAAAGCAGUUGCUAUAGCUAAUGCUCUCUCAGCUCCUUUGAAUCCCUGUCCUAAUGUCUUUGUACCGGGUGAGGAUGGGCAUAAACCGGGACGGUCAGAUGGUUAUGAUUUUGGGUUCCUUCAUAUAAAGGUGAACACUUUGUUUCCAUCUUGUAACACAAAACUCAAAAGUUUCUAUUCUAUUUUUACUCCCUUUCAUUAAGAUACAUAUUUUAGAAAAUUCAAAAAGAUGCAUUUUUUAUAUUUUUCUGUGCAUUUUUAUGAACUCUUAAUGAUUAAUUGUAAUUUUUUUAAAAAUUCCAUUUAUUGAAUUCUUAUUGGUUUAGAAUUACGAUAAAUAGAUAAUCACAAAAAAUUAUGCAUUUACAUUUAUAUCGGAAAUUUAGUAUGUUUUAUUAAUAAAAAGAUACAUUAUUUUGAAACGGAGGGAGUAUAAUUCUUGCAGGCUAUAGAUGAUGCUGGUCAUGACAAGGCGACAUUGUUCAAAGUUAGAGGCUUAGAAGCUGUGGAUAAGGCGAUACGUCAGCUUGCUAAGCUGUUAUGGCAAGCUGAAACUUCUACAAAUUAUCAGUACUUCUUGUGUGUGACUGGUGAUCAUUCAACACCAGUUGAGUAUGGAGACCACAGUUUUGAGCCUGUCCCAUUCACAAUGUGCCGGUUAAGAGAGUUUGUGGCCGCGGUUGGAGGAGAAGCAGCCUUGUUAGAGACGUCUUUGGAGCCUUUUCCACUUCCGACGGUUGUGGAGUCUGCUGAAUAUCUCGCUGGAAAAGAGGAAGAUGGUGAGAGGAGGGAAACUCCUGAAGCGGUUGGUGGAGAUUCAGUUGCAGAGUUGAAUGAGAUUGCAGCUGCAAGAGGAUGUCUUGGCCGUUUCCAUGGUGGUGAAAUGAUGGGAGUCAUCACCAAGUUCCUUAAUGUAGAUGUAUCAGUUUCGCAGAUUUAACAUUUUUAUUUUCUGGCAGUUUGGAUUUUCGAAGUGUAAUAAAAGUGUCAAACUCUGAUUGCUUCAGUUUAGUUUGUCCUUUAAGCUUUCUGACUAUUUGAAGCAUAUGAGAGUGCAAGACGGUUUGGCCUGUUCCCUUGCUCUCUGGCUUCUUCAUGUGUUGCUCAAAAGAAAAGAGGAGUUUGCGAGAGUAUACAUUAAGUUGUAGAGAGUGACAUAUAACUUGUGGAAAAGAAAGGUCAGGUAAAGGGAUAGUAAAGUUCUUGGUUUACGUAAAGGGCAAGCUUCUAGUGAAGUACCAUUUGCUCCGACAUAUACGAAUCACAUGAGUUAAUGUCAUAAAUCUUAUCAGUCAUAUGAAAAUGAGAAAAGUUGGCAAAAUUUUUUUUUUUUUCUUUUUUUGAAAAAAGUUGACAAAAAAUUUCAUAACCAUUUCAUUAGUUAUAUACCCUAACAGUUUGUUUUCCCGAUUUGACAUUUCUUCUUCUUUUCUUUUUUAACGACACUCAAUCUCACCUUCCUUCAAAAUGUUAAUCACACUAUGGUUUGUUAGUAACAGUGCCGCACCUUAAUUCGACACGUCCAUUUCUACCACACCAAGUAUAAUAGAAUACAUAACCCAACGUCCCAAAAGAAAUAGACUUGAGGAAUUUGAGGAAUAUAUUUAAGGAAUUUGAGUCAUCCAUCUAUCGCUAAAUGGUGUUUAGAAGUCUAUGAUAAAUUUAAAUUUAACAUGAUAUCAUAACCCAAAUACAUGUUUAUACCCGAACUUAAAUCGAUUUGGUCCAUCGAAAGAGUUAUGAUCGAUUUUAAACCAAUUUGAAUCGAAGUUGUCUAGCCAAUCUAACCUAACCAUCUUACACUUGGAUAUAAUAAAAAUUAAUGGUUAUAUCAACUAUAAUUUUAAGGAAGAUUGUAAGAAUACAAGCUUCCAAUUUCAGAAGCUUUGAUGAAACAUGAAUAAUAUAUAAAAGAUUUUGAAUCGAUCCACUUAUACCGAUUAAUUUAAGUUGGAAUUUUAUGAUAAGUCCAAAUUUAAAUAUUUGAUAAGACAUUUUAUUGAAAGGAAAAUAACCAAGGAGUGGAAAUGUGACUCGUGAGGAACGGCUCUUGGGGCAGUGACUUGCCAUAAAGUCUAUACUUAUGGGACCACUUCGCUACAGCCAUGUGACCACGAUUCCUCAGCUAGCUCGCAUUGUCUCUCAUCGUGGACCCUUCCCUAAAAGUCGUCCUUUGCUUCUUCUUAAUAUUAUCAUGCGCAUUAAACUGUCAAAGAAAAACAUAACCCUUUUUGACAACGAUUGUAUUAACUUUUUUUAUAUGAUUUAGUGUUCCGGUUUGCAUAUAUUUAAUUUCUCUUGUAGUUAUCACUAAUAUCGCCAUCGGUGUAGUGCUAAUCUGGUUUUCUCUUCCCCUCUCAAUAUUUAUCAUGGCCGUCUUUGCUUCAAGGUUACGUCAACAGCCCAUUUCUAUUUGGCGGUGUGUGUCUUCUUAUCUCACAACAUCUAAUACCAAACUGGAUAUAAAAAGCUUAAAUUGGAUGUAAAAAUUUAACCAAAACGUUGGUCUUUAGCUUGUUAAACCUUAAUUUGUAAUUAUAUUUUAAUACAUUUUCCUGUUGUGUAGUAUUUUUCGUGGGGACUACAUACCUAGUGUAAAUCUAUCUAGUACUUUUAUACUUUAAUAGGAUAGUGAAUGCAACAAGUUGAGUCCUUCCGAAACCCCACAUGCCAAAGGUUUUUAGAAUAAUGAAAAUGCCAGCCCAUGAACUGCCAAAUUAAUUUAAUUGUGAUGAGUCAACAAUGAGUAGAUGCCAACAAUGUUGGAGACUUCUGAAAUUAUUAAUUGAUACAUGUAUAUAUAUAUAUAUAUUAUUUCAUAAUGUAGAACUAGAAAUGUAUAUCUGUGGACCUAGUUAGUUAGACCCCUCAAAAAUGCAUGAUUAGUAGUUAGAAGUCAUACAGAUUACUACAUGAAUGAAGUAUGAUAAAAUAGAUCAACAUGUUAACAGAGAGGCAAGGAACAGAGUGGCUCGGAUUUGAAACACCAAGGACAAAUAAUGGUCUUUGGUUCUUCACAUAGAAACUUUGGUAUAAAGCUAUUUUACGAUUCAGCUAGCUUUGUGUCAGCAUCAGAAUUCAAACAAACUCGUAUAGUGUUAUGUAAAACAAAAUUCUCGACUAAAGAAGUGUUAAUUAGAUCAAGUAAUUUACUCUCGCUUUGCACGCUCAUAUACCACAACCGACUGAAUUAGGCCUAGAGUGAAUAAAAACGAAGCCUUAUCACAACCGACUGAGUAAAAACGAAGCCUUAUCACAACCAACUGAGUAAAAACGAAGACAUAUCAGAACAUCAAUGAUUCAAUAUAUGAUGAUAAGCAAACUAUAAUAUAAAUAUCUUUGUAAACAAAGAAAAAUAAGUGCCGACCAGUUAUUUUGAAAGAAAUAAAAAUGUUUGUUUAGGUCAUUAAUUAGGUCAUUCAGUCAUGGCCAAAGAGAUCACAAAAAUCGUCGAAUUCGCGGUAGUCGAUCAUCCCGCUAUCUACAACGUAAUCAUGGGAACCCCAUGGCUCAACGCCAUGCAGGCAGUUCCAUCAACCUACCACCUGGGUCUCAAGUUCCCAACGCCGAGCGGAGUCGCGGCCAUCUGGGGAUGCCAAAAACAGUUGCGACUAUGCUUCCUCGCGGAGCAUAAGUUAAGGUGUCGGUUUGACUCGAUUUUCAUUUCUUUCUUUUACACUUUAUACUAAUUUUAAGGUAGAAUCAAAUAUGAAUACUAGAUAAAUACCAAAAAUCAUACACCAUAAUAAUAUAAUUAACCAACACGAGUAUCCGUUAUUUUUCCAUUAAUGUGGACGUGCUUUGGAUUCUUACCAAAAUCUAGAACGAUGAAUCUCGCAGGUAAAUUGAUUAAAAUUUCACAAUACUUUAAAUAGUUAGUAAGUAAGUACGUCAACAUUUUAUAAAGAUAUGUGAAUUUAAUCCAAAUUAUUAUCUCAUCCAUAUAUUUUACAGUUUGAAGUUAUUUACCUUUAAGUUUAUAAGCUCUAAUGUUUUUGUUUGUUUAUUUGUUUUAAGUUGGGCCGAAAAUUAACUAGUCAUCCAAAUCAUCGAUCCAAAAGAAAUAUACCGACGAUUAAUUCAACUUUAAAUUUUCUAAUAAAGUUAAAUAUAUGGUUCUUCUUUGUUUAGUUAAGUGGUACCAACUUGGUUUUUACCUUUUAGCAAGAUUCGAAUCCAAUAUUGACAGAUUUACGCUUUGCUUCAAACUUUUCCUAAUGAAUUUUGAUGUAUUUUUGAAGUCAUUCUUUGUUCUUCUUUUUCGGUAUAUUUGAAAUAGUCAUCUAGUUGGUUUUACGUGAGAGUUAGAUCCAUAUAUAUUCUGAACUCUGUCCGACUCAAAAGCUAUGGCCAGUUUAGUGAAACAUGCCAUUACCACCGACCAACACGUUAUUGAAGAAAGUCAACGUAAACUCUUUGGAAGUUGAUCCAUUCCCAUCGACCACAACACAUCGAAGCAGUCAUGGAACACGUCGAUGCUGACACAAAGUUUGAUUACUAACUUAGAAUUUGUAUAUUGGCCCAUCAUAUGUCCAUAUAACAAAAAACCCACAAGGCCUGUUCAAUCUAAACCGGUCUAUUAAUAUUCUGAUCCGGUUUGGGUUAAUUUAAAACCCUUUCUUUUGUACAGACAGAUUCUUAAAGACAAAACAAUCUGAAACACAAGUCAUGCUGCUAGAGAAUCACAUUCUUUGAAGAUCACUUCUCUUUGUCAGGUAACGAAGUUUCCGAUCAUGCAAAUACUAAAAACCGAGUCUUUGUUUUGUUCCCAAUAUCAAUUCUAUUGCUUUGUUUCGUUUCUAGAUUGCCCAUUAGAACAUAAUCACUUGUAGAAAAGGUAGCGAGAUGGGUCAAGGUGAUGGAGAUGUCAAAAAGAGAGUUGCUUUUGUCCUGAUCGAUGGUUUGGGAGAUGUCUCAAUACCGAGAUUAGGUUACAAAACUCCUCUACAGGCAGCAAACAUACCCAAUCUCGACGCAAUCGCAUCAGCUGGUAUCAACGGUCUAAUGGAUCCAGUGGAAGUUGGGUUGGGAUGCGGUAGUGACACAGCUCAUCUCUCUCUGAUGGGUUAUGACCCUAGAGUGUAUUAUAGAGGACGUGGCGCGUUUGAGUCAAUGGGUGCAGGGUUAGCAAUGUCACCUGGUGAUAUAGCUUUUAAGUUGUGUGUUCUGAAUCUGUAUCUUCAUCAUCUUGUACAUUUUUUUGUUGAAUCUUAUAGGUUUGAGACCAAUGCCAGGUGGUGGUUAGAAUCUUAAUAGAAGAUUAUUAUCUAGGCCUAUUUUUUGAAUGUCUAGAGAUUUAGAAAAAUUAAUUUUUUAGAUCCGAUUUGCUGCCUAGGCGCGGUCUAGACCGAUUUUUAGAACACUGUUUGAGACUGUGAAUGUUUUUGUUAUGCAGUCUAAUUUUGCGACAUUGGAUGAGAGUUCUGGAGUUGUUGUUAGCAGGAGAGCUGAUAGACAUUUCGAAGAAGAAGGGCCUAUACUUUGUGCUGCUCUUGAUGGCAUGAAGCUUCCUUCUUUCCCUGAGUAUGAAGUGAGAGUCAGGUGCAAUAUGUUAUGUUACUAAGUCUCUUUAUGAUAAUUUGGUAUAGGGUUUUGGCUAAAGUAAGAUGAUCUUAUACAGAUAUGCAACGGAACACAGAUGUGGUGUGGUUGUAAAAGGGCCAAAGCUUAGCGGGAACAUAUCUAGAACAGACCCAUUGAAGGAUAAUCGUUUGCUUCUCGAAGCUAAACCUUUGGAUGAAUCAGAAGAAGCCAAGCACACAGCUAAAGUCGUUAACGAGUUGUCUAGAGAGAUCUCACGCAUUCUUGUUUCACACCCGGUUAAUGCAAUGAGACUUUCACAAGGCAAGAACAUUGCCAAUCUUGUCCU
rnacentral:lncRNA from 1 species